rnacentral:lncRNA from 1 species
UUUUUGUUCAAAGAAUGAAGAGACCAAAGAAGAAAACUUUUUUCAAUAUACUAUAUUGUGGUAUGCACUAAAUUAGCACAAAAUGAAAACAACAAAGAAGAGAAACUUUUUAUGUACUGUAUGUUUGAAAUAAGAAAAAGGGUGUUUGUGGUUUGCUCAAAGAGAAGCUUUUUCUCAGGUUGAAGAAGAAGACUGAAUGAGAAAGAUGGUUUUUUUUUUUUUUUGGUAUUUUCAAGAAUGAACACUUUCAAGAAGAGAACCUUUUUUUUGUGUUUGUCAAUAUAGUUUUGCUUGAUGGCAAGUUUUUCUGGG